GAUGAACGCUGGCGGCGUGCCUAAUACAUGCAAGUCGAGCGAACGGACGAGAAGCUUGCUUCUCUGAUGUUAGCGGCGGACGGGUGAGUAACACGUGGAUAACCUACCUAUAAGACUGGGAUAACUUCGGGAAACCGGAGCUAAUACCGGAUGAUAUUUUGAACCGCAUGGUUCAAAAGUGAAAGACGGUCUUGCUGUCACUUAUAGAUGGAUCCGCGCUGCAUUAGCUAGUUGGUAAGGUAGCGGCUUACCAAGGCAACGAUGCAUAGCCGACCUGAGAGGGUGAUCGGCCACACUGGAACUGAGACACGGUCCAGACUCCUACGGGAGGCAGCAGUAGGGAAUCCUCCGCAAUGGGCGAAAGCCUGACGGAGCAACGCCGCGUGAGUGAUGAAGGUCUUCGGAUCGUAAAACUCUGUUAUUAGGGAAGAACAUAUGUGUAAGUAACUGUGCACAUCUUGACGGUACCUAAUCAGAAAGCCACGGCUAACUACGUG
rnacentral:rRNA from 1 species